AGUGAACGCUGGCGGUAGGCCUAACACAUGCAAGUCGAACGGCAGCACAGUAAGAGCUUGCUCUUACGGGUGGCGAGUGGCGGACGGGUGAGGAAUACAUCGGAAUCUACUUUUUCGUGGGGGAUAACGUAGGGAAACUUACGCUAAUACCGCAUACGACCUACGGGUGAAAGCAGGGGAUCUUCGGACCUUGCGCGAUUGAAUGAGCCGAUGUCGGAUUAGCUAGUUGGCGGGGUAAAGGCCCACCAAGGCGACGAUCCGUAGCUGGUCUGAGAGGAUGAUCAGCCACACUGGAACUGAGACACGGUCCAGACUCCUACGGGUGGCAGCAGUGGGGAAUAUUGGACAAUGGGCGCAAGCCUGAGCCAGCCAUACCGCGUGGGUGAAGAAGGCCUUCGGGUUGUAAAGCCCUUUUGUUGGGAAAGAAAAGCAGCAGGUUAAUACCCCGCUGUUCUGACGGUACCCAAAGAAUAAGCACCGGCUAACUUCGU
rnacentral:rRNA from 1 species